AUGAACGCUGGCGGCGUGCCUAACACAUGCAAGUCGGAACGAAGCAUGGGGAACGGAGAUUCGUCGAAGGGAACCAUGACUUAGUGGCGGACGGGUGAGUAAUGUAUGAGCAACCUGCCUUCAGAGGGGGACAACAGUUGGAAACGACUGCUAAUACCGCAUAAUGUACAGAGAUGGCAUCAUUUUUUGUACCAAAGGAGCAAUCCGCUGAAAGAUGGGCUCAUAUCUGAUUAGCUUGUUGGCGGGGUAACGGCCCACCAAGGCGACGAUCAGUAGCCGGACUGAGAGGUUGAACGGCCACAUUGGGACUGAGAUACGGCCCAGACUCCUACGGGAGGCAGCAGUGGGGAAUAUUGGGCAAUGGGCGAAAGCCUGACCCUAAGCAACGCCGCGUGAAGGAAGAAGGUCUUCGGAUUAGUAAACUUCUUUUAUGAGGGACGAAGGACGUGACGGUACCUCAUGAAUAAGCCACGGCUAACUACGUGCCAGCAGCAGC
rnacentral:rRNA from 1 species